AUACAGAGGGUGCGAGCGUUAAUCGGAAUUACUGGGCGUAAAGGGUGCGUAGGUGGUUAGGUAAGUUAGAUGUGAAAGCCCCGGGCUUAACCUGGGAAUUGCGUUUAAUACUGCUUAACUAGAGUACUAUAGAGGGUGGCGGAAUUUCCGGUGUAGCGGUGAAAUGCGUAGAUAUCGGAAGGAACACCAGUGGCGAAGGCGGCCACCUGGAUAGAUACUGACACUGAGGCACGAAAGCGUGGGGAGCGAACAGGAUUAGAUACCCUGGUGGUCCUAGCAGUAAACGGUGCACACUUGCUGUAGGCGGUUCGACCCCGUCUGUGGCGUAGCUAACGUGUUAAGUGUGCCGCCUGGGGAGUACGGUCGCAAGGUUAAAACUCAAAUGAAUUGACGGGGACCCGCACAAGCAGUGGAGCAUGUGGUUUAAUUCGAAGAUACGCGCAGAACCUUACCAACACUUGACAUGUUCGUCGCGAGCCUAAGAGAUUAGGC
rnacentral:rRNA from 1 species